AAGUCGUAACAAGGUCUCCGUUGGUGAACCAGCGGAGGGAUCAUUACCGAGUUUACAAACUCCCAAACCCCUGUGAACUUAUACCUUUACGUUGCUUCGGCGGGACUCGCCCCGGCUGCCCUCGCGGCGGACCGGACCCAGGCGCCCGCCGGAGGACCCAAACUCUUCUGUCUUUUAUAGCGGCAUGUCUGAGUGGAUUUUUAUACAAAUGAAUCAAAACUUUCAACAACGGAUCUCUUGGUUCUG
rnacentral:misc_RNA from 1 species